rnacentral:rRNA from 1 species
GCAUCUGUGCAUGCAGCAUAUCAAUAAGCGGAGGAAAAGAAACUAACAAGGAUUCCCUUAGUAACGGCGAGUGAAGCGGGAAGAGCUCAAAUUUGAAAUCUUCAAGGUUUUACCUUGACGAAUUGUAGUUUAAAGAAGUGUUUUCUGUUGAAGUUUUGGUAAAAGUUCUUUGGAAUAGGACAUCAUAGAGGGUGAGAAUCCCGUAUUUGACCAUUAUUUUCAGCUGUGUGAUACACUUUCAAAGAGUCGGAUUGUUUGGGAAUGCAGUCCAAAAUGGGUGGUAAAUUUCAUCUAAAGCUAAAUAUUGGCGAGAGACCGAUAGCGAACAAGUACCGUGAGGGAAAGAUGAAAAGAACUUUGAAAAGAGAGUUAAACAGUACGUGAAAUUGUCAAGAGGGAAGCGUUUGACACCAGUGUUGUUUUCUCGAAAAUCAAUUAAAAAGAGUUUGAUUUUGUUGUGUAUUGACCUUAACAGCUUGCAUUUCAAUUUUCUUGCUUUUUUUAAUGCACUUUUCGUUUAACAAGUCAACAUCAGUUUCUUUUGUUGUAAAAAGGUCAUUGGAAGGUGGCUUUCUUUUCGGAGAGAGUGUUUAUAGUCCUUUGACUCCUGCAAUCGGAGAGACUGAGGUCUGCAGCGUAGAUCCUUCGGGGUUAGAUACAUUUAUGCUAAGUUAUAGCUUUUUAUAGACAACUUGUUGACUAUGAUUAGUCUUGUAGCUUACUCGCUUAUGCUAUUUUACCUACGCUUAGGAUGUUGACACACGCGCGUGCUCG